AGUCUGCAACCCGACUACAUGAAGCUGGAAUCGCUAGUAAUCGCGGAUCAGAAUGCCGCGGUGAAUACGUUCCCGGGUCUUGUACACACCGCCCGUCACACCAUGGGAGUCGGAAAUGCCCGAAGCCGGUGACUCAACCUUUAAGGAGAGAGCCGUCGAAGGCAGGUCUGAUAACUGGGGGUGAAGUCGUAACAAGGUAUC
rnacentral:rRNA from 1 species